rnacentral:lncRNA from 1 species
UACAGGAAUACAGAUAAAUGAUUCUGAUGUCAAAUAUCAUUAUAUAAACAUAAAACUUAUUAUAGAGUGGUAUCAAAAUAACCAGUAAAACAUUACACAAGUCAAACACAUGGCACGUCAACUCUAUAGGUUACCAACAAUCGUAUACGUAGCAUCAACACAAACACACAUUACCAUAUACCAUUACGUGCAGAUAACACUGAAACUUCGGCCUGUUUUCGGACAUUCUCGUAAGUGUUCAUAAAUGCACAAGAGUUCACACUAAAGUACUUAAACAAGUAAUGUUCCUUUAGCGGCACUAAUAUUUUCAAGGCAAUUUGGUGUUGCAUCACCAUCCACCACAAGUCCCUACAUCCCAUCCUAUCUCCGUUUACGGGCACCGCGAUCAACCUUAUGUGGAACAAAGUCUAUAGAUUGUUCCUAGCACACCACUUCCAGGCACUGGGUAACUCCGUUGGUUGCUUGUUGUUUAUAACGCACAUCGAUAGCCUUCUUUUUUCAAUUUCAAUAUCCUCUGCUACAGUGAUGUUAACGCUGUCCCUUAGCGGCUUAAUAACUUUAGCCUGGCUCCAGUUUACCAUAAAUCUUGCUCGUAGCUUUUC